rnacentral:rRNA from 1 species
CGUUGGUGACCAGCGG